rnacentral:rRNA from 1 species
UACGUAGGGUGCAAGCGUUAUCCGGAAUUAUUGGGCGUAAAGAGCUCGUAGGCGGUUUGUCACGUCUGCUGUGAAAACUGGAGGCUCAACCUCCAGCCUGCAGUGGGUACGGGCAGACUAGAGUGCGGUAGGGGAGAUUGGAAUUCCUGGUGUAGCGGUGGAAUGCGCAGAUAUCAGGAGGAACACCGAUGGCGAAGGCAGAUCUCUGGGCCGUAACUGACGCUGAGGAGCGAAAGCGUGGGGAGCGAACAGG